AUUGAACGCUGGCGGCAUGCCUUACACAUGCCAGUCGAACGGCAGCAUGAUCUAGCUUGCUCGAUUGAUGGCGAGUGGCGAACGGGUGAGUAAUACAUCGGAACGUGCCCUGUAGUGGGGGAUAACUAGUCGAAAGAUUAGCUAAUACCGCAUACGACCUGAGGGUGAAAGUGGGGGACCGCAAGGCCUCAUGCUAUAGGAGCGGCCGAUGUCUGAUUAGCUAGUUGGUGAGGUAAAGGCUCACCAAGGCGACGAUCAGUAGCUGGUCUGAGAGGACGAUCAGCCACACUGGGACUGAGACACGGCCCAGACUCCUACGGGAGGCAGCAGUGGGGAAUUUUGGACAAUGGGCGAAAGCCUGAUCCAGCAAUGCCGCGUGUGUGAAGAAGGCCUUCGGGUUGUAAAGCACAUUUGUCCGGAAAGAAAUGGCUCUGGUUAAUACCAGGGGUCGAUGACGGUACCGGAAGAAUAAGGACCGGCUAACUACGUG
rnacentral:rRNA from 1 species